UACAGAGGUCCCAAGCGUUGUUCGGAUUCAUUGGGCGUAAAGGGUGCGUAGGCGGCGCGGUAAGUCGGGUGUGAAAUCUCGGAGCUUAACUCCGAAACUGCAUUCGAUACUGCCGUGCUUGAGGACUGGAGAGGAGACUGGAAUUUACGGUGUAGCAGUGAAAUGCGUAGAGAUCGUAAGGAAGACCAGUGGCGAAGGCGAGUCCCUGGACAACACCUGACACUGAGGCACGAAAGCUAGGGGAGCAAACAGG
rnacentral:rRNA from 1 species